GCCCGGAUAGCUCAGUCGGUAGAGCAUUGGACUUUUAAUCCAAGGGUUCAAGUCCUUGUCCGGGCG